rnacentral:rRNA from 1 species
GAUGAACGCUGGCGGCGUGCCUAAUACAUGCAAGUCGAGCGAACAGAUAAGGAGCUUGCUCCUUUGAAGUUAGCGGCGGACGGGUGAGUAACACGUGGGUAACCUACCUAUAAGACUGGGAUAACUUCGGGAAACCGGAGCUAAUACCGGAUAACAUUUAGAACCGCAUGGUUCUAAAGUGAAAGAUGGUUUUGCUAUCACUUAUAGAUGGACCCGCGCCGUAUUAGCUAGUUGGUAAGGUAACGGCUUACCAAGGCGACGAUACGUAGCCGACCUGAGAGGGUGAUCGGCCACACUGGAACUGAGACACGGUCCAGACUCCUACGGGAGGCAGCAGUAGGGAAUCUUCCGCAAUGGGCGAAAGCCUGACGGAGCAACGCCGCGUGAGUGAUGAAGGGGUUCGGCUCGUAAAACUCUGUUAUUAGGGAAGAAAAAAUGUGUAAGUAACUGUGCACAUCUUGACGGUACCUAAUCAGAAAGCCACGGCUAACUACGUG